UGGGGAAUAUUGCACAAUGGGCGAAAGCCUGAUGCAGCAACGCCGCGUGAGUGAUGAAGGCCUUCGGGUUGUAAAGCUCUGUCUUUUGGGACGAUAAUGACGGUACCAAAGGAGGAAGCCACGGCUAACUACGUGCCAGCAGCCGCGGUAAUACGUAGGUGGCAAGCGUUGUCCGGAUUUACUGGGCGUAAAGGAUGCGUAGGCGGAUUUUUAAGUGAGAUGUGAAAACCCUAAGCUUAACUUGGGGACUGCAUUUCAUACUGGAAAUCUAGAGUGCGGGAGAGGAGAAUGAAAUUCCUAGUGUAGCGGUGAAAUGCGUAGAGAUUAGGAAGAACACCAGUGGCGAAGGCGAUUCUCUGGACCGUAACUGACGCUGAGGCAUGAAAGCGUGGGUAGCAAACAGGAUUAGAUACCCUGGUAGUCCACGCCGUAAACGAUGAGUACUAGGUGUAGGAGGUAUCGACCCCUUCUGUGCCGCAGUUAACACAAUAAGUACUCCGCCUGGGAAGUACGAUCGCAAGAUUAAAACUCAAAUGAAUUGACGGGGUCAUAGCUGUUUUCCU
rnacentral:rRNA from 1 species